UGGGACCCCGCUGAGGCUGAUGGGGUGGUGCGUGUGCAUUUCCUCCGGCCCAGGGGCCCAAGGGGCUCUGUGGCCUGGGGCAGGGCCAGGAAGGUGCAGUGACCAGGUGGCGAUGUGUGGGGGACACUGAGUGCGUGAGGGCUGCUGUUCAGGACAGUGCCUUUCCUGUCCUGGUGACUCAGCUGUCCCCCCCUAGGAUAUGCACAGAGGAAGGAAAGCAUCGAUUGCAGCUUGGAUUGGGCACGGUCUGGGCUCCAGGGCAGGAGCAGGCCUGGAGUGACCCCGUGUUUCCGAGGGUCAUCCCAACACGGACGGCUGGGUGCCCUUUAUGGUGUGGCCUCUUUCAGAACAGCUCUCAGGAGGCUGGUGAGGGCGUCUGGAGACCUCAGGCAGGAGAAGGGACACGCUUGGGUGAACUCUGUACCCACCCUCCAUGUGAUUUACCAUUUUCACAUUCAGCGUCUCUCCUCACAAGGCCCCAAACGCGUCUCUCUCCAGACCCGACCCCUCCCCUGCUCCCCCCCAGGCACGUUGGCACCCAGGAGGCCAUGAGGACUCAGGGACUGAGGAUCCUGGAAGGAGUGAGAUGGGGGACGGGGGUUAGGGACCCCAGCCAGCCUGGUUCCUCUCGUGGAGUGGUGCUCCCGGUCUCUGAGCCCAGGUCCUUUGGAAUGGGAUCAGGACAGCGGCUUCCCCUUCCCCAGGCCCAUUCUCCGCCGUUACCUUUUACCGGGAGCCCGGAGCUGCCGAGGCCUUCCCUGUCCUACUAGGACACUUCCCGUGGUACCGUGACCCGAGACUGGAACUCGUGGCUCCUACCUGUCUUGCCACCCGUCAUACCCCUUCCCUCCUCUAAAGUCACCUCCCUCUGUGACAGAGGCCACACCUGCCUUUUGCUGUGAGCUCACCGGGACCCUGUGCCCUGGCAGGCACCCCUGGUCCUGCACCCUUUGGGGAAGCUGGCCAUGCUCCUGCCAAGCAGAGGAAACCAUGCCCUCUUCUGGGCUUCUGGAAUCCGUGUGUGGACCUCUCUGUGUCCUUUACCCCAUAGGUCUCCUCAAAGUGUCCCUUGUAAAUACGGGUCCAGUUAUUAAUUUCAAAAGUGAUUGGAGACAACAUACAAGUCACACAGCUGAGAAAGAACUGACGAGGAAAGGGUGUGUGGGUGUGUGUGUGUGAGGUGUGUGUGUGUAUUAGUGUGUAUGUGGAUGUGUGGGGUACGUGGGUAUGUGUUUGUGUGUUAGUGUGUGUGUUAGAGUGGAUGUGGGUGCGUGUGUUAGAGUAUGUGUGUGUGUUAGAGUGUGUGGGUGUGUUAGUAUGAGUGUGUGUGUAGGUGUGUGUGUUAGUGUGUGUGUUUGUGUGUGUGUUAGUAUGCUUG
rnacentral:lncRNA from 1 species